UAGUAAGGUCAGCUAAU
rnacentral:tRNA from 1 species